CACGUGUAGCGGUGAAAUUGCGUAGAGAUGUGGAGGAACACCAGUGGCGAAGGCGACUCUCUGGUCUGUAACUGACGCUGAGGAGCGAAAGCGUGGGGAGCGAACAGGAUUAGAUACCCUGGUAGUCCACGCCGUAAACGAUGAGUGCUAAGUGUUAGGGGGUUUCCGCCCCUUAGUGCUGCAGCUAACGCAUUAAGCACUCCGCCUGGGGAGUACGGUCGCAAGACUGAAACUCAAAGGAAUUGACGGGGGCCCGCACAAGCGGUGGAGCAUGUGGUUUAAUUCGAAGCAACGCGAAGAACCUUACCAGGUCUUGACAUCCUCUGACAAUCCUAGAGAUAGGACGUCCCCUUCGGGGGCAGAGUGACAGGUGGUGCAUGGUUGUCGUCAGCUCGUGUCGUGAGAUGUUGGGUUAAGUCCCGCAACGAGCGCAACCCUUGAUCUUAGUUGCCAGCAUUCAGUUGGGCACUCUAAGGUGACUGCCGGUGACAAACCGGAGGAAGGUGGGGAUGACGUCAAAUCAUCAUGCCCCUUAUGACCUGGGCUACACACGUGCUACAAUGGACAGAACAAAGGGCAGCGAAACCGCGAGGUUAAGCCAAUCCCACAAAUCUGUUCUCAGUUCGGAUCGCAGUCUGCAACUCGACUGCGUGAAGCUGGAAUCGCUAGUAAUCGCGGAUC
rnacentral:rRNA from 1 species